rnacentral:sRNA from 20 species
GCGAUGAGCUAAUUUACGUAAGACGAGAGAUAUGCUUAAGUGCUAAACACGCGGAUGUGGCCGCCUGGUCUCUCGCCGUAAAACGCAUCAAGACGCCUGCUAAUUUCAGGCGUC